AGUGAACGUUGGCGGCGUGGAUUAGGCAUGCAAGUCGAGCGAGAACCGUAGCAAUACGGGGACAGCGGCGAAAGGGACAGUAAUGUGUAGGUACCUACCUCCGGGUUCGGGAUAGCUGCGGGGAACUGCAGGUAAUACCGAAUAACGUCUCCGGACCAAAGGUGUGAUUCCACCUGGAGAGGGGCCUGCAUCCUAUUAGCUAGUUGGGGAGGUAACGGCUCACCAAGGCGACGAUGGGUAGCGGGUGUGAGAGCACGACCCGCGUCAUUGGGACUGGGACACUGCCCAGACACCUACGGGUGGCUGCAGUCGAGGAUCUUCGGCAAUGGGCGCAAGCCUGACCGAGCGACGCCGCGUGCGGGAUGAAGGCCUUCGGGUUGUAAACCGCUGUCGUAGAGGAGGAAAUGCAGGGGGGUUCUCCCCUCUGUUUGACCUAUUCUAGGAGGAAGGACGGGCUAAGUUCGUGCCAGCAGCCGCCGUAAGAC
rnacentral:rRNA from 1 species